rnacentral:rRNA from 1 species
GUCUGCGGCAUGCUAUACAUGCAGUCGAGCGAACAGACGAGGAGCUUGCUCCUUUGACGUUAGCGGCGGACGGGUGAGUAACACGUAGGUAACCUACCUAUAAGACUGGGAUAACUUCGGGAAACCGGAGCUAAUACCGGAUAAUAUUUCGAACCGCAUGGUUCGAUAGUGAAAGAUGGCUUUGCUAUCACUUAUAGAUGGACCUGCGCCGUAUUAGCUAGUUGGUAAGGUAACGGCUUACCAAGGCAACGAUACGUAGCCGACCUGAGAGGGUGAUCGGCCACACUGGAACUGAGACACGGUCCAGACUCCUACGGGAGGCAGCAGUAGGGAAUCUUCCGCAAUGGGCGAAAGCCUGACGGAGCAACGCCGCGUGAGUGAUGAAGGUCUUCGGAUCGUAAAACUCUGUUAUUAGGGAAGAACAAACGUGUAAGUAACUGUGCACGUCUUGACGGUACCUAAUCAGAAAGCCACGGCUAACUACGUGCCAGCAGCCGCGGUAAUACGUAGGUGG